GACGAACGCUGGCGGCGUGCCUAAUACAUGCAAGUCGAACGCAGUGGGGACGGGUGAGUAACACGUGGGUAACCUCCCAUCAGAGGGGAUAACACUUGGCAACAGGUGCUAAACCGAUACUGAUGGAUGGACCCGUGGUGCAUGAGCUAGUUGGUGAGGUAACGGCUCACCAAGGCCACGAUGAAUAGGUGAGCUGUGUGGGUGAUAGGCCACAUUGGGACUGAGACCAGGCCCAGACUCGUACGGGAGUGAGCAGUAGGGAUUCUGCGGCAAUGGACGAAAGUCUGAACGAGCCAACCCGCGGUGGUGAAGAAGGUUCUCGGAUCGUAACCCUCUGUUGUUAGAGAUGCGGUAUCUACUCAGAAAGCCACGGCUAACUACGUGCCAGCAGCCGCGGUAAUUC
rnacentral:rRNA from 1 species